AAAAACCAAAAAAAAUCACUCCGGAUAUUUGGACUAAUCUAAUGCU
rnacentral:sRNA from 1 species